rnacentral:rRNA from 1 species
UGGGGAAUUUUGCACAAUGGGGGAAACCCUGAUGCAGCGACGCCGCGUGAUUUAGAAGGCCUUCGGGUUGUAAAAAUCUUUUCUAUGGGAAGAAAAUGACAGUACCAUAGGAAUAAGGACCGGCUAAUUACGUGCCAGCAGCCGCGGUAAUACGUAAGGUCCGAGCGUUGUCCGGAAUCAUUGGGCGUAAAGGGUACGUAGGCGGGUAAGCAAGUUAGAAGUGAAAUCCUGUAGCUCAACUACAGUAAGCUUUUAAAACUGCUCAUCUUGAGAUAUGGAAGGGAAAGUGGAAUUCCUAGUGUAGCGGUGAAAUGCGCAGAUAUUAGGAGGAAUGCCGGUGGCGAAGGCGACUUUCUGGCCAUAAUCUGACGCUGAGGUACGAAAGCGUGGGUAGCAAACAGG